UGCGUUCCAUUAGAUAGUAGGCGGGGUAACGGCCCACCUAGUCUUCGAUGGAUAGGGGUUCUGAGAGGAAGGUCCCCCACAUUGGAACUGAGACACGGUCCAAACUCCUACGGGAGGCAGCAGUGAGGAAUAUUGGUCAAUGGGCGAGAGCCUGAACCAGCCAAGUAGCGUGAAGGAUGACUGCCCUAUGGGUUGUAAACUUCUUUUAUAAAGGAAUAAAGUCGGGUAUGCAUACCCGUUUGCAUGUACUUUAUGAAUAAGGAUCGGCUAACUCCGUGCCAGCAGCCGCGGUAAUACCGGAGGAUCCGAGCGUUAUCCGGAUUUAUUGGGUUUAAAGGGAGCGUAGAUGGAUGUUUAAGUCAGUUGUGAAAGUUUGCGGCUCAACCGUAAAAUUGCAGUUGAUACUGGAUAUCUUGAGUGCAGUUGAGGCAGGCGGAAUUCGUGGUG
rnacentral:rRNA from 1 species